UACGGAGGGGGCGAGCGUUGUUCGGAAUUACUGGGCGUAAAGCGCACGUAGGCGGUCUUUUAAGUCGGGGGUGAAAUCCUGGAGCUCAACUCCAGAACUGCCUUCGAUACUGGAAGACUUGAGUCCGGGAGAGGUGAGUGGAACUGCGAGUGUAGAGGUGAAAUUCGUAGAUAUUCGCAAGAACACCAGUGGCGAAGGCGGCUCACUGGCCCGGUACUGACGCUGAGGUGCGAAAGCGUGGGGAGCAAACAGG
rnacentral:rRNA from 1 species